AACCUUAUGGACCUGCGGGCGUAUACCUGCGGAGGGAUCAUUAUUGAAUUUAAUGUAGAGUUGGUUGUAGCUGGCCUAAUAAAUUAAUUUUAGGCAUGUGCACACCUUCUCUUUCAUCCACACACACCUGUGCACCUGUGAGACAGUAGGGGAAUUUUAAUUUAAUUUAAUUGAACCCUCUGUCUAUUUAAUCCAUAUAAAAUCAAUUUAAUUAAAAAUGAAUGUAAUUGAUGUAACACA
rnacentral:misc_RNA from 1 species